CCACUUCUCUUCUCCUUUUUCUUUUUUUUUCUUUCUCUCUCAAAUCAAAUCAACAUGGGAAACGCUUUUUCGUCAAAACCCACGGGACCGACCGAUCCCGCUGCAAUUAAGGC
rnacentral:ribozyme from 1 species